rnacentral:rRNA from 1 species
AUUGAACGCUGGCGGCAGGCCUAACACAUGCAAGUCGGACGGUAGCACAGGGGAGCUUGCUCCCCGGGUGACGAGUGGCGGACGGGUGAGUAAUGUCUGGGAAACUGCCUGAUGGAGGGGGAUAACUACUGGAAACGGUAGCUAAUACCGCAUAAUGUCGCAAGACCAAAGAGGGGGACCUUCGGGCCUCUUGCCAUCAGAUGUGCCCAGAUGGGAUGUAGCUAGUAGGUGGGGUAACGGCUCACCUAGGCGACGAUCCCUAGCUGGUCUGAGAGGAUGACCAGCCACACUGGAACUGAGACACGGUCCAGACUCCGACGGGAGGCAGCAGUGGGGAAUCUUGCACAAUGGGCGCAAGCCUGCUGCAGCCAUGCCGCGUGUAUGAAGAAGGCCAUCGGGUUGUAAAGUACUUUCAGCGGGGAGGAAGGUGUUGUGGUUAAUAACCACAGCAAUUGACGUUACCCGCAGAAGAAGCACCGGCUAACUCCGUGCCAGCCGCCGCAGUAA